AUGGCCCUGGGAGAGGAGUCUUCCUGUGAAAUAAAAGUGUCAUCAUUUUUCCUUGGCUUAGGGGGCAUCUCACAUAAUGAAAGAACAUCCUUCAAUGGAAAGAUCUCAAUUCAGAAAAAAAGAAAGAAAGAGGGAAAGCAAGCAAGCAAGAGCUCUAACCAUGGUGACACUGUGAGAAAUGAAUGUCAAGUCGUCCUGCGUUGCCGGAAUGUUUGUACAAGGCGGUGGUCUGGCUCUCUGGCUCCGAGGUAUCAUGGAGCUUUGAUCAAAACAAGAUACCUCCGUUUCUACUUGCUGCAACAUCACUAAUGGCCCAUGGCUUCCCAGAUAUUAUUUCGCAACGGCAAGAGUUUCUUCUGCUGUGCUUUUGUGGGUGACUCUACAACCGUGAACUUUGUUGCCUUGCAGCUUCCACAUGCCCACUGUUGACAGAGCGUGGCCUCACCCACAUACGUAACAAAGUCAAAUUGAGUGCAUUUCUUUGUAGAUGAGUAACGAAUGUAGGUGUGUUUGUAAAAAAAAAAAAAAAAGAAGAAGAAAAGAAGAAGAAGAUUGGGAAAAGGUGUUGGCCAGUGGUGCCAUGAUCAUACUUAUUUUUAGAUCGAUCGUUGACUUGGUCAUGAUUUUUGUCGGUUAAAACAGUUUGUCAAAAUGAAAAACAAUCUCGUGAUGCUGCUGUUUUGUAGGUGUGUUUUAUUCAGUUUUUAGUUUCCUUCCAACGUAAUAGAAAUUAGUGAUUGCACUUGGAUAUUCUGUUAGGAUCUUUGACUUUUUAAGAGAUUUUCAUAGUCUGUGCAAAUGCAUGACUUCAGUCUGCUUCAGUACUUCCAUGGCGAAUUACUGUCUUUAUGAUAAAAAAAAAAAGCCCCUUUCCUGUGUGCAGCCUGGACUAGUCCCCAGUUAGCUGGUGAGACAUUCAAGGGCCAUGAGUAAUAUACGCAAUGUGUUAAACCAAUGAUUUCUCUGAAAGCUAGAGAACAUUCUAAUGGCAUUUUCAAAAUUUCUUGUUUGAAUCCUAAAAUACAGUAGACAGCCAAUUUGUUCUAUUUGAAUCUGUCACCUUCCCUGUUGUUUUGUUUUGUUUUCAUCAUUCUUUGGGUGCUAUGAAAUUGUUUUGAGCUAGAAUUAUCUAUUUUGAUCUCAUCAGUCAUUUAACCACGUAGCAGUAACCUUAGAAAAGUGAACUGCGUUCACUCUAUGUAAUCUAUACUUCCCCUUUCAAUACUCACCUCAUGCACUACCUACAGAAUUUUUCUUGGAUUAUCCCAUACCACACUCAUAGCAUAAUCUCUUUAGUCUUCCUAGAAUGUAAUUCAUGGAUAGUAAGAUUUGUGAUUGUUAGGUGCUAAAGAGUCUUGGUCUGGCCUCUGCAAUUUUCAUACACAAUCUUUUAAUUACUUGAGGGUUGAUAUCACAUAGUACAUUUUCUUUUAUUGCUCAUAGCAUCUACGUUGGCAUACUGUAAGUACUCAAUACAUUUUUUGUUUUGCCAGUUGAUUUCUUUGAUGGCUACCAGGGACCAGUUUUACUGGGAAUGUUAAAUGUUUGUGUGAAAAGAAAAAAAAAAAGAUGUGUAGAGAAUCUUACCUGAUAUAGCUAUGAACAAGUUUCUAAAGUCAGUAUGUAAGAGUAAAAUUGUAUCGGACAGAAUUUUACCUUCAGAAUCUUUCCUUAGGAGGCUGUUAUUUCGGAGACCAAUGGAAUAGAUCGUUGUGUUUUUGUUUUGUUUUGGUUUUUUGCUUGAACAUAAAUAAAGUAGCUGACUUGUAUUUAGGAGCUACGUUG
rnacentral:lncRNA from 12 species